GACGAACGCUGGCGGCGUGCUUAACACAUGCAAGUCGAGCGGAAAGGCCACUUCGGUGGUACUCGAGCGGCGAACGGGUGAGUAACACGUGAGUAAUCUGCCCCUGGCUUUGGGAUAGCCACCGGAAACGGUGAUUAAUACCGGAUACGACCACUUCUCGCAUGGGAUGGUGGUGGAAAGUUUUUUCGGCCUGGGAGGUGCUCGCGGCCUAUCAGCGUGAUGGUGAGGGAAGGGCUCACCAUGGCUUCGACGGGUAGCCGGCCUGGGAGGGUAGCCGGUCAGACUGGGACUGAGACACGGCCCAGACUCCUACGGGAGGCAGCAGUGGGGAAUAUUGGACAAUGGGCGGAAGCCUGAUCCAGCAACGCCGCGUGAGGGAUGACGGCCUUCGGGUUGUAAACCUCUUUCAGCAGGGACGAAGCGCAAGUGACGGUACCUGCAGAAGAAGCACCGGCCAACUACGUGCCAGCCGCCGCCGUAA
rnacentral:rRNA from 1 species